GCCUUCGCGGCCCGAAUCGUCGCCGUAUGGCGGCUUGUCUGGCGCAUCGUCAGUCUAGGGCGCGAGGGCGUAA
rnacentral:ncRNA from 1 species